CAGCAUAUUAUUUAAUAAAUAUGCCAAAUCUGCUCCGGCCCCUGGCGGCCGCGGGAUUCGAUUUCUGGUUGAUCCUGCCAGCGGGUACCGCUAUCGGAAUGCGAUUAAGGCAUGCGAGUCGAGAGGUGCAAGACCUCGGCUGACGGCUGAGUAACACGCGGAUAAUCUGCCCUGGAGUGGGGGAUAAUCUCGGGAAACUGAGGAUAAUACCCCAUAGGUGUGGUGUGCUGGAAUGCUUCCACGCUCAAAGCCCCGGCGCUCCAGGAUGAGUCUGCGGCCUAUCAGGCUGUAGUGGGUGUAACGGACCCACUAACCUACGACGGGUAGGGGCGUUGAGAGACGGAGCCCCCAGAUGGAUUCUGAGACACGAAUCCAGGCCCUACGGGGCGCAGCAGCUACGAAAACUGCACAAUGUGGGAAACCACGAUGCGGGCAUUCCGAGUGCCAAGGCAUUGCCUUGGCUGUUCUCUCGCCUAAAAAGCGAGAGAAGUAAGGGCCGGGUAAGACGGGUGCCAGCCGCCGCGGUAAUACCCGCGGCCCGAGUGGUGCUCAUUAUUAUUGAGCUUAAAGCGUCCGUAGCCGGCCUCGUAAAUCCUUGGGUAAAUCGGGCAGCUCAACUGUUCGAAUUCCGAGGAGACUGUGAGGCUCGGGACCGGGAGAGGUUAGAGGUACUCUCGGGGUAGGGGUAAAAUCCUGUAAUCCUGAGAGGACCACCAGUGGCGAAGGCGUCUAACUAGAACGGAUCCGACGGUGAGGGACGAAGCCCUGGGGCGCAAACGGGAUUAGAUACCCCGGGUAGUCCAGGGUGUAAACGCUGCGGGCUUGGUGUCGGAGGUCCUACGAGGGCGUCCGGUGCCGGAGAGAAAUUGUUAAGCCUGCCGCUUUGGGAAGUACGGUCGCAAGACUGAAACUUAAGGAAUUGGGCGGGGGAGCACCGCACGGAGGGAGCGUGCGGUUCAUGGAUUCACGCGGACAACUCCACAGGAGCGACGUAAUGGAGCCAGGUCGACGACUUGGCUGAUUUUCCGGAAGGUGGUGCAUGGCCGUCGUUCAAGUCGUACCGUAAGGGCCGUUUCUCUAGUGAGGAAUAUAUCGA
rnacentral:rRNA from 1 species